GCCACCGUGGUGUAGUGGUCAGCACGCUCGACGCGUAUUCGAGAGGUCUGUGGUUCGAGUCUCGGCGAGGGCA
rnacentral:tRNA from 1 species